GGUCUUAUGGCGCAAUUGGUUAGCGCGUCCGGCUGUUAUACCUUAUUCAAAUGUGCCUUCUACGUUAAAAAUGUGUAAAAUGGAGCAAAUGAGUAAAAUAAGGUGCGACACCGGGAGGUCGAAAGUUCGAGCCUUUCUAGGACCG